rnacentral:misc_RNA from 1 species
AUAUAUAUAUAUAUAUAUAAUGAAGAAUCUUGCUGCCUUUGUAAUGCAUAUCAGGCUAUUUUGUGCACUAUAUUUAGGCUAAUGAAUUAUCUUCCUGCCAUUGCAAUGCAUUAUCAUUAUGCAAUAUUUUCUUUCCAAUCUCCCUCUCUCCCUUUCUCAAGGGAAGAUCAACUACUCUUGAAUUAAAUUGCACCUUCUUUUAUUCAUUUUUCCAGCCUUUUAAUUUGUUCUUUUGCCG